AUUGCUUCUCAGCCUUUUGGCUAAGAUCAAGUGUAGUAUCUGUUCUUAUCAGUUUGAAAUCUGGUAUUGUGAUGUCUCCAGCUUUGUUUUUGUUAUUUAUGAUUGCUUUAGCUAUU
ensembl:snRNA U2 U2 spliceosomal RNA